rnacentral:rRNA from 1 species
AUGGAACAAUGUAGGCAAGGUAAAUCAGCAAAACGGAUCCAUAACUUCGGGAAAAUGAUUGGCUCUGAGGACUGGCGGGGGUCCAGGCUGCGAACCCGUCGGCUGUCGGCGGAUUGCUCAAGCUGCUCACGCGAUGAGAGCGGGUCGCCGCAUGUCGGCCGGGGGACGGACCGGGAAUCGCCCCGGGGGCUUUCCUCGAGCAUGAAACGGUCGACUCAUAACUGGUACAGACAAAGGGAAUCCGACUGUUUAAUUAAAACAAAGCAUUGCGAUAGUCCUCCCAGGUGCUGA